AUUGAACGCUGGCGGCAGGCCUAACACAUGCAAGUCGAACGGUAACAGGAAUCAGCUUGCUGAUUUGCUGACGAGUGGCGGACGGGUGAGUAAUGUCUGGGAAACUGCCUGAUGGAGGGGGAUAACUACUGGAAACGGUAGCUAAUACCGCAUAACGUCGCAAGACCAAGGAGGGGGACCUUCGGGCCUCUUGCCAUCGGAUUUGCCCAGAUGGGAUUAGCUAGUAGGUGGGGUAAAGGCUCACCUAGGCGACGAUCCCUAGCUGGUCUGAGAGGAUGACCAGCCACACUGGAACUGAGACACGGUCCAGACUCCUACGGGAGGCAGCAGUGGGGAAUAUUGCACAAUGGGCGCAAGCCUGAUGCAGCCAUGCCGCGUGUAUGAAGAAGGCCUUCGGGUUGUAAAGUACUUUCAGCGGGGAGGAAGGGAGUAAAGUUAAUACCUUUGCUCAUUGACGUUACCCGCAGAAGAAGCACCGGCUAACUCCGUG
rnacentral:rRNA from 1 species